UCUGGUUGAUCCUGGCGGAGGCCACUGCUAUCGGAGUUCGAUUAAGCCAUGCGAGUCGAGAGGUGCAAGACCUCGGCAUACUGCUCAGUAACACGUGGACAACCUACCCUACGGAGGGAGAUAACCCCGGGAAACUGGGGAUAAUACCCCAUAGACUAUAGAUGCUGGAAUGCUUUGUAGUUGAAAGGUCCGCCGCCGUAGGAUGGGUCUGCGGCCGAUUAGGUUGUUGUUGGGGUAACGGCCCAACAAGCCUGUAAUCGGUACGGGUUGUGGGAGCAAGAGCCCGGAGAUGGAUUCUGAGACACGAAUCCAGGCCCUACGGGGCGCAGCAGGCGCGAAAACUUUACAAUGCGGGAAACCGUGAUAAGGGAACUCCGAGUGCCCGUAAAAUCGGGCUGUCCAUCUGUUUAAAUAACAGGUGAAGAAAGGGCCGGGCAAGACCGGUGCCAGCCGCCGCGGUAAUACCGGCGGCUCGAGUGGUGGCCACUAUUACUGGGCUUAAAGCGUUCGUAGCUGGUCUGUUAAGUCUCUGGGGAAAUCUACUGGCUUAACCAAUAGGCGUCUCAGGGAUACUGGCAGACUAGGGACCGGGAGAGGUGAGAGGUACUCCAGGGGUAGGAGUGAAAUCCUGUAAUCCUUGGGGGACCACCUGUGGCGAAGGCGUCUCACCAGAACGGCUCCGACAGUGAGGGACGAAAGCUGGGGGAGCAAGCCGGAUUAGAUACCCGGGUAGUCCCAGCCGUAAACGAUGCGCGUUAGGUGUAUCGGUGACCACGAGUCACCGAGGUGCCGAAGAGAAAUCGUGAAACGUGCCGCCUGGGAAGUACGGUCGCAAGGCUGAAACUUAAAGGAAUUGGCGGGGGAGCACCACAACAGGUGGAGCCUGCGGUUUAACCGGACUCAACGCCGGAAAUCUCACCGGAUAAGACAGCUGGAUGAUAGUCGGGCUGAAGACUCUACUUGACUAGCUGAGAGGAGGUGCAUGGCCGUCGUCAGUUCGUACUGUGAAGCAUCCUGUUAAGUCAGGCAACGAGCGAGACCCACGCCCAACAGUUGCCGGCUCGUCCUCCGGGAUGGUGGGGACACUGUUGGGACCGCCUCUGCUAAAGAGGAGGAAGGAAUGGGCAACGGUAGGUCAGCAUGCCCCGAAUUAUCCGGGCUACACGCGGGCUACAAUGGGUGGGACAAUGGGUAUCGACACCGAAAGGUGAAGGCAAUCUCCUAAACCCAUCCUUAGUUCGGAUUGUGGGCUGCAACUCGCCCACAUGAAGCUGGAAUCUGUAGUAAUCGUGUCUCAACAUGGCGCGGUGAAUAUGUCCCUGCUCCUUGCACACACCGCCCGUCAAACCACCCGAGUGAGGUCUUGAUGAGGCCGUCGUUUUUGCGGCGGUCGAAUCUAGGUUUUGCAAGGGGGGUUAAGUCGUAACAAGGUAGCCGUAGGGGAAUCUGCGGCUGGAUCACCUCCUAGCGAAAUU
rnacentral:rRNA from 1 species